AUUGAACGCUGGCGGAAUGCUUUACACAUGCAAGUCGAACGGUAGAGGGGCAACCCUUGAGAGUGGCGAACGGGUGAGUAAUGUAUCGGAACAUGCCCAGUCGUGGGGGAUAACGUAGCGAAAGUUACGCUAAUACCGCAUACGAUCGAUGGAUGAAAGCGGGGGAUCGCAAGACCUCGCGCGAUUGGAGUGGCCGAUAUCAGAUUAGGUAGUUGGUGGGGUAAAGGCCUACCAAGCCGACGAUCUGUAGCUGGUCUGAGAGGACGACCAGCCACACUGGGACUGAGACACGGCCCAGACUCCUACGGGAGGCAGCAGUGGGGAAUUUUGGACAAUGGGCGAAAGCCUGAUCCAGCCAUUCCGCGUGCAGGAAGAAGGCCUUCGGGUUGUAAACUGCUUUUGUACGGAACGAAACGCGCUGUGCUAAUACCACGGCGUAAUGACGGUACCGUAAGAAUAAGCACCGGCUAACUACGUGCCAGCCGCCGCCGUAAAAC
rnacentral:rRNA from 1 species